GGACUGUGAGGUUUUACCUGUACUGCUACCCAGUUUCCACAGAUACUUAUGGUAGCAAAUAAUCCCAAGACUCAUUACUGCACAUAAAUCCCUCAGCCUUCUGGGCUUCCUUCUCUGGAG